GUUCCUGAGUUACCUAUCGGAAGCGGUGGUUCUAUUUUGCAAGGAUAGAGUUGUGAUCCUCUUAUUGUGGCUUAUCUUGCUUUGGCGAGUUGAGGCAUUGGCAGAAGAUCUUUCUAGCUUUCGAUGGGUUCUCCAGUCAAGCUUUCGACGACAGCGCGNUCUCCAAUUAAGCUUCCAACAAUAGUGCAUGACAUUGAUCCUGAGUUCUGCUUGGGUGGCU
rnacentral:misc_RNA from 1 species